AUAGGGCGAUCUGCCGUAAUGGGAUCCUGCCUCCAAGGUGCUGCAUGGCUGUCGUCAGCUCGUGUCGUGAGAUGUUGGGUUAAGUCCCGCAACGAGCGCAACCCUUCCCUUGAGUUACCAUCAUUAAGUUGGGCACUCUAGGGGAACUGCCGGUGAUAAACCGGAGGAAGGUGGGGAUGACGUCAAGUCCUCAUGGCCCUUAUGUCCAGGGCUACACACGUGCUACAAUGGCCGGUACAAAGGGUUGCGAAGUCGCGAGAUGGAGCUAAUCCCAAAAAACCGUUCUCAGUCUCGGAUUGCAGUCUGCAACUCGAUCCAUGAAGUUGGAAUCGCUAGUAAUCGCGAUCAGCAGCG
rnacentral:rRNA from 1 species